rnacentral:sRNA from 1 species
UUUUUUUAAUAUCUGGAAGUUCAACUCCAAAAGUUCUACAUUCCGAGGCGGAAUUCACACCAAGUUAAAUUCAUCUUUUUUGGAGAAGAGAUUUCUUCUAACGUGCCUUGAACCUACUACCUUCACCCGAGAAAUUUACCACUAGGUCAAUAGUUCGUUGGUUAGGAUGUUUAGACUUCUUUAUCUAUUUUCUAGUAAUAACUUUUUCUCUUAUGGUUUCGUUAUCUGGAUGUUGUAGUUCCUAAAAAUACAUCAACCUGUGUAUCUUUUAUUAUCCAUGUAAGUUU